rnacentral:rRNA from 1 species
GNUUGUCGNGGAGAAUGNNGCUUGCACCAAUUUGAAGAGCAGCGAACGGGUGAGUAACGCGUGGGGAAUCUGCCUUUGAGCGGGGGACAACAUUUGGAAACGAAUGCUAAUACCGCAUAACAACUUUAAACAUAAGUUUUAAGUUUGAAAGAUGCAAUUGCAUCACUCAAAGAUGAUCCCGCGUUGUAUUAGCUAGUUGGUGAGGUAAAGGCUCACCAAGGCGAUGAUACAUAGCCGACCUGAGAGGGUGAUCGGCCACAUUGGGACUGAGACACGGCCCAAACUCCUACGGGAGGCAGCAGUAGGGAAUCUUCGGCAAUGGACGAAAGUCUGACCGAGCAACGCCGCGUGAGUGAAGAAGGUUUUCGGAUCGUAAAACUCUGUUGGUAGAGAAGAACGUUGGUGAGAGUGGAAAGCUCAUCAAGUGACGGUAACUACCCAGAAAGGGACGGCUAACUACGUGCCAGCAGCCGCGGUAAUACGUAGGUCCCGAGCGUUGUCCGGAUUUAUUGGGCGUAAAGCGAGCCCAGGUGGUUAUUAAGUCUGGGGUAAANGCAGUGGCUCAACCAUUGUAUGCAUUGNAACUGGUAGACUUGAGUGCA